GCGGGUAUGGCUCCAGUGGCAGAGCGCAUGCUUAGCAUGCAGGAGGUUCUGGGUUCAAUCCCCAGUGCCUCCU
rnacentral:tRNA from 1 species